GUUGUGAUGAUUUAUUAACCAUCUAAAACUAACCUCCGAAAUGAUAUGAUCGUAGUCAGCAGGAUCACAGAUCACACUGACAC
ensembl:snoRNA C55F2.3 ncRNA